rnacentral:rRNA from 1 species
AACGAACGCUGGCGGCAUGCCUAACACAUGCAAGUCGAACGAGACCUUCGGGUCUAGUGGCGCACGGGUGCGUAACGCGUGGGAAUCUGCCCUUGGGUUCGGAAUAACAGUUAGAAAUGACUGCUAAUACCGGAUAAUGUCUUCGGACCAAAGAUUUAUCGCCCAGGGAUGAGCCCGCGUAGGAUUAGCUAGUUGGUGAGGUAAAGGCUCACCAAGGCGACGAUCCUUAGCUGGUCUGAGAGGAUGAUCAGCCACACUGGGACUGAGACACGGCCCAGACUCCUACGGGAGGCAGCAGUGGGGAAUAUUGGACAAUGGGCGAAAGCCUGAUCCAGCAAUGCCGCGUGAGUGAUGAAGGCCCUAGGGUUGUAAAGCUCUUUUGUGCGGGAAGAUAAUGACGGUACCGCAAGAAUAAGCCCCGGCUAACUUCGUGCCAGCAGCCGCGG